rnacentral:rRNA from 1 species
AGGACGAACGCUGGCGGCGUGCUUAACACAUGCAAGUCGAGCGGAAAGGCCCUUCGGGGUACUCGAGCGGCGAACGGGUGGGUAACACGUGAGCAACCUGCCCUUAGCUCUGGGAUAGCUCCGGGAAACCGGAAUUAAUACCGGAUACGACCUAGGCCGACAUCGGCCGUGGUGGAAAGUUUUUCGGCUAGGGAUGGACUCGCGGCCUAUCAGCUAGUUGGUGGGGUAAAGGCCUACCAAGGCGACGACGGGUAGCC